AUUGAACGCUGGCGGCAGGCCUAACACAUGCAAGUCGAGCGGAUGAAGCGAUCUUGCUCCUUGAUUCAGCGGCGGACGGGUGAGUAAUGCCUAGGAAUCUGCCUGUUAGUGGGGGAUAAAGUCCGGAAACGUGCGCUAAUACCGCAUACGUCCUGACGGAGAAAGGGGGGGAGCUUCGGACCUCACGCUAUCAGAUGAGCCUAGGUCGGAUUAGCUAGUUGGUGGGGUAAAGGCCUACCAAGGCGACGAUCCGUAACUGGUCUGAGAGGAUGAACAGUGACAGUGGGACUGAGACACGGUCCAGACUCCUACGGGCGGCAGAGGUGGGGAAUAUUGGAAGAUGGGCGAAAGACUGAUCAAGGCAUGCCGCGUGUGUGCAGAAGGUCUUCGGAUUGUAAAGCACUUUAAGUUGGGAGGACGGGCAGUAAGUUAAUACCUUGCUGUUUUGACGUUAGCAACAGAAUAAGCACCGGCUAACUUCGUG
rnacentral:rRNA from 1 species